rnacentral:rRNA from 1 species
GAUGAACGCUGGCGGCGUGCCUAAUACAUGCAAGUCGAGCGAACAGACGAGGAGCUUGCUCCUCUGACGUUAGCGGCUGACGGGUGAGUAACACGUGGAUAACCUACCUAUAAGACUGGGAUAACUUCGGGAAACCGGAGCUAAUACCGGAUAAUAUAUUGAACCGCAUGGUUCAAUAGUGAAAGACGGUUUUGCUGUCACUUAUAGAUGGAUCCGCGCCGCAUUAGCUAGUUGGUAAGGUAACGGCUUACCAAGGCAACGAUGCGUAGCCGACCUGAGAGGGUGAGCGGCCACACUGGAACUGAGACACGGUCAAGACUCCUACGGGAGGCAGCAGUAGGGAAUAUUCCGCAAUGGGCGAAAGCAUGACGGAGCAACGCCGCGUGAGUGAUGAAGGUCUUCGGAUCGUAAAACUCUGUUAUUAGGGAAGAAAAAAUGUGUAAGUAACUAUGCACGUCUUGACGGUAACUAAUCAGAAAGCCACGGCUAACUACGUG